CGUAGGUGACCUGCGGAGGGAUCAUUACACAAUAUGAAGGCGGGCUGGACACCUCCAGCCGGGCACUGCUUCACGGCGUGCGCGGCUGGGGCCGGCCCUGCUGAAUUAUUCACCCGUGUCUUUUGCGUACUUCUUGUUUCCUGGGUGGGCUCGCCCGCCAUCAGGACCAACUAUAAACCUUUUUGUAAUAGCAAUCAGCGUCAGUAACAACGUAAUUAAUUACAACUUUCAACAACGGAUCUCUUGGUUCUGGCAUCGAUGAAGAACGCAGCGAAAUGCGAUACGUAGUGUGAAUUGCAGAAUUCAGUGAAUCAUCGAAUCUUUGAACGCACAUUGCGCCCUUUGGUAUUCCAAAGGGCAUGCCUGUUCGAGCGUCAUUUGUACCCUCAAGCUUUGCUUGGUGUUGGGCGUCUUUUGUCUCCAGCUCGCUGGAGACUCGCCUUAAAGUCAUUGGCAGCCGGCCUACUGGUUUCGGAGCGCAGCACAAGUCGCGCUCUUGCCCAGCCAAGGUCAGCGUCCAACAAGCCUUUUUUCAACCUUUGACCUCGGAUCAGGUAGGGAUACCCGCUGAACUUAAGCAUAUCAAUAAGCGGAGGAAAAGAAACCAACAGGGAUUGCCCUAGUAACGGCGAGUGAAGCGGCAACAGCUCAAAUUUGAAAUCUGGCUCUUUCAGAGUCCGAGUUGUAAUUUGCAGAGGGCGCUUUGGCUUUGGCAGCGGUCCAAGUUCCUUGGAACAGGACGUCACAGAGGGUGAGAAUCCCGUACGUGGUCGCUGGCUAUUGC
rnacentral:rRNA from 1 species